rnacentral:rRNA from 1 species
UACGUAGGGUGCGAGCGUUGUCCGGAAUUACUGGGCGUAAAGAGCUCGUAGGUGGUUUGUCGCGUUGUUCGUGAAAACUCACGGCUUAACUGUGAGCGUGCGGGCGAUACGGGCAGACUGGAGUACUGCAGGGGAGACUGGAAUUCCUGGUGUAGCGGUGGAAUGCGCAGAUAUCAGGAGGAACACCGGUGGCGAAGGCGGGUCUCUGGGCAGUAACUGACGCUGAGGCGCGAAGGCCAGGGGAGCAAACGGG